ACGGGGCGCAGAGGCGCGAAAACUUUACAAUGCGGGAAACCGUGAUAAGGGAACUCCGAGUGCCCGUUAAAUCGGGCUGUCCAUCAGUUUAAAAAACUGGUGAAGAAGGGGCCGGGCAAGACCGGUGCCAGCCGCCGCGGUAAUACCGGCGGCUCGAGUGGUGGCCACUAUUACUGGGCUUAAAGCGUUCGUAGCUGGUUUGUUAAGUCUCUGGGGAAAUGUUCCGGCUUAACCGGAAGGCGUCUCAGGCGUCUCAGGGAUACUGGCAGACUAGGGACCGGAAGAGGUGAGGGGUACUUCAGGGGUAGGAGUGAAAUCCUGUAAUCC
rnacentral:rRNA from 1 species